AACGAACGCUGGCGGCAUGCCUAACACAUGCAAGUCGAACGAGAUCUUCGGGUCUAGUGGCGCACGGGUGCGUAACGCGUGGGAAUCUGCUCUUUGGUUCGGAAUAACAGUUGGAAACGACUGCUAAUACCGGAUGAUGACGAAAGUCCAAAGAUUUAUCGCCAGAGGAUGAGCCCGCGUAGGAUUAGCUAGUUGGUGUGGUAAAGGCGAACCAAGGCGACGAUCCUUAGCUGGUCUGAGAGGAGGAUCAGCCACACUGGGACUGAGACACGGCCCAGACUCCUACGGGAGGCAGCAGUGGGGAAUAUUGGACAAUGGGCGAAAGCCUGAUCCAGCAAUGCCGCGUGAGUGAUGAAGGCCUUAGGGUUGUAAAGCUCUUUUACCCGGGAUGAUAAUGACAGUACCGGGAGAAUAAGCUCCGGCUAACUCCGUGCCAGCCGCCGCAGUAA
rnacentral:rRNA from 1 species